AACGUAGGAGACAAACGUUAUCCGGAGUUACUGGGCGUAAAGGGCGUGUAGGUGGUUUUGUAAGUCUGGCGUUGAAAUUUUCGGCUUAACCGGGAAAGGUCGUCGGAUACUGCAAGGCUAGAGGACGGUAGAGGCGUGUGGAAUUCCGGGUGUAGUGGUGAAAUGCGUAGAGAUCCGGAGGAACACCAGUGGCGAAGGCGACACGCUGGGCCGUACCUGACACUGAUGCGCGACAGCAUGGGGAGCAAACAGG
rnacentral:rRNA from 1 species